ACAGAAGCUAUGUUUUUUUCCCCUCGCACUUGAAGUUGAGGUGAAAUGGCGGAACGAAGCACGAAAGGAUUGGUCCUGGAUCUAACAACACGCUGAUUGUGAUUGGAUCAGAGGAGAGGCCUGGACCAUAAAUUCCCUGGAAUACCACUAGAGGGGGCGCUCUGCCAUUGAUUGCAACUGGGGUUGUACUGUGUGUUUGCUCUCUGUGAAAAUGUAGCACAAUCGUGUGAUUAAUGUGCUCUUGUAUGGUUUCUUUGAUCCUGAGUGAUUUGUGUUAAAACGCCAGUGUUGAUGAUCUCAUCUGUAUGUGUAUGAUUAUUUGAGAAGCCGUAGGGGGUGAGUACCUUGUUUCUUUUGUAGGCUGAAAGGCCUUUGUUUUUCUCCUGUUUAUUGGUAGUUAAGUAGUUUUAUUUUAAUUCAUAGGUAAGGUAGUUUCUUUGGGGAAAGUUAGUUCUGUUUGGUUUAUUAUUUUGGCAUUAGCUCACCCUGAAGAUCUUGCUUUUAAUCUUUUUCCUGUUUGUUUUCUUUGUUAAUUUAUUUUACAGAUAUUGUUUUGGUGAAUGAUAAGAAAUGCUGCUUUUGAAACAAAUCCAGAAUGAUAAUAAAUUCAAGCUAACUGAA